rnacentral:lncRNA from 1 species
UUUGACUGGUACUGUAUUUCAACCAAAGUGCUGUCAACGUUGUUCCUAGGGCAACUCUGCCCUGGGGAUAGAAGGAAUAUGUUUGGCUUGCUCAAAGGUCAAUUGUUGGAUUUACCAGAUUCAGUUAUCGCAUUUGCAUCACUAUUGCUUGCUACUACGAAUCUAACAACGGGAAAUGGAGGGUGUAUGGUUGAGAGGAGUUGAAAAGCGUCUUAAAAAAGAGAAAGAUGAGAGGCGUGAACAUGAGGUUGUCCUUUUUGAUGGAGAUGAGGAAUUUUUGAGAAUGUACAUAGAGAAGGUUCAAACAGAAACCAAAACAUAAUUCAAAGCAGUUCACUCUCUCAGUAAUGAAUACUUCCACUAUUCAUGUGAAUGAAGCAGCAAGCCAAUAGGGUGAAGCAUAGGAAAACCAUGUGACACUAGGGAUAAUUGGUGUGGGGCCUAUGUUUCUUUUAAAAUUGUUAGGGACACUGGUUUUAAAGGUGCUGUCGUACACAAAAUGGUAGAACACAUUGGACAUGACUAUGCUGACGCAAAACAGGGGGUUGUCACCGCAUUGAUCCUGAGCUUCUGUCCUUUGUGGAGUUGUGGCUUUCUCAAGGAUGCUCUAUAUCAGAGGUGCUUGUGAAGAUUUGUGAUCGGGCUAUGAGUAAAGGACACGGCAACAAACGACACCCGGUAUUACUUUCAAGCCCCUAAAGAUGUUCGCAACAUCAAAUGAAGCUUGAAAGCCUUAUCAGUCCUUGAUGUGAAAGAGAACACCAGUGUAGAAAAGCUAGUCAAUUCUGAUCUGAAGGACAACAUUCUAAUCUAUCAUCCUCUCUGUAAUGUAUCUAAGCAGCAUCUGAUGAUAGUUGUCCAAAGAAAAUGGCCAAAACAACAACUACAAGAGAUCCCACAUCCCAUGGUAUUUCUGGAUGCCACUAACCUAUGGUUAUGCGUUCUAUGCUAUCCUUACCAUCAAGCAUAGUGGUAGAGGACUUCAUAUAGCAUGUUUAAUUCUGAGGAAAAAACUGACACUCUAGGGGAGGUAUUUAGAGAAAUUACGGCAGGCCAAUCCAUGCAUAAUUCCCAGUCAA